AUAUGCAUGAGAAUCUGUCUGACCCACCGAUCCCCAUCGAAAUGCGGAUGCAAUGGUUCGGAACACCGAGAACACCGGGCCAGAUGGCGGAAAGUCGGGCAGACAAGGCCAAAAGUCGUCGAACUGUGAAAGCGGCUCAAACCAACUAUAAACACCCACUCGGCAGAAAACAUUUUCAUAUGCCGCCGAGCCUGCCGGCCAAGUGUAAAAGUAUUUCGCAAAAUACACACUCAUAUGCCGACCCGCUGCGAACUUUAUUAAUAUUAUUUUUAUGAUUAUUAUUGCGCCCUGGACGUGAGUUGGCAUAAUUACCCGAACGACGUCCUGUCCGAAAUUGGCC
ensembl:ncRNA lncRNA:CR45005 long non-coding RNA:CR45005